GUGUCCAGAAAUUCCGAUCAGGACUAAGGGUCCCAUUGAGCUCGGCAUUGUACAAACAUAUAGAGAGAGUACAAACUUUUUUGUCCUGUUGAUGCACAUGUGCAUCUCACCACCACUGAAAGAUUUCAAAUUAAUGGAUAAGCCUGAAUGAAAAAUAAUACCCUGGGUGGACUGCUAGAUAUUAUUAAUGCAAUUUCCAGAUAAUUUUAGUGUGCACACUGCCUGGACACAUUUAUUUGCCAGUGAUUGCUAGUUCAGUGAUGAUUCUUUAUGAAUGCUGUUUUUGUAGAAGUCACAGACCCAUGGGAAGAGAUGGAAUACACAGUCAAUCACAAUAAGGAAUGCUGAAAAGUCAAAGCAGUAUGUCAUGCUACUAUCUUUUGCUGAAUGCUUUAAUCAUUAGUAUUUAUACACUUCAUACUUCAUUGUAGAAUUUGUAUCAAACAUGAACAAUGACAGAACAUGUUCAGCAUCAAUUCUC